rnacentral:misc_RNA from 1 species
AACGCAUAUUGCGCCCUUUGGUAUUCCGAAGGGCAUGCCUGUUCGAGCGUCAUUAUCACCCCUCAAGCCCCCGGGCUUGGUGUUGGACGGUUUGAUCUCGGCUGACGAGAUCCCUCCUAAAGUCAAUGACGGCGGCCUGUUCGACCCCGGUACACUGAGCUUCUUAACUGAGCACGUAUCGGCCUAGGUAGGACGCCGGUCUUCUUCCUUAACCGGAAAAAAUCUCUUCAAGGUUGACCUCGGAUCAGGUAGGGAUACCCGCUGAACUUAA